rnacentral:rRNA from 1 species
ACGCUCGACACCUACGGGGGCAGCAGUGGGGAAUAUUGCACAAUGGGGGAAACCCUGAUGCAGCGACGCCGCGUGAAGGAAGAAGUAUUUCGGUAUGUAAACUUCUAUCAGCAGGGAAGAAACUGACGGUACCUGACUAAGAAGCACCGGCUAAAUACGUGCAGCAGCCGCGGUAAUCUGAGCGGGCUGGCAAGGC